CUCCCGAGUCCCUCCUCCUGCCUCGCGAUACCGCCUCCUCAGUCCCUCUCGUCGCUACGGCCGCCGUCCAGAUCUGCGGAACAUGUUGAACGGCACGUAGAAAUGCAGGAAACCGCUGCUUCUGCUUUUUGAUGGUGAAGUGCAGAUUAGCUGUUAUUCUUUGGUGAUGGAACAAUGAUGAAUCUGAGCCCUCCAACUCCCCAUUUCUUUUCCCACCUUUUCUCAAACAGGGCUCAGAAUAGCUCCCCAAGAUCCUGGCUCGGCUCUAGAUGAAAAUUUAUGAACAAAGUUAUAAGCUUCACAGAUUUUGCCAGCCUUACUGAGCAUAUCUAUCAUACAGACAUUGUGUUCAAUGAUUGGCUCAAACCCAAACUCUUUCUUCAUGAGGUUGUAAUGGCUGCAUCCCUCGUCGAGGAGCCCGGAGUGGCUGCAAGCUGAUA